UCAGGUGGUCCAGAAGAGGUAAGAUGAUGAGAUAAGAACAUGUUGAGGCAGUUCUCAGAAGCAAAUGAAGAGCCCUGCCAUCUGACUGCUUUGAACUAGUCUGAUGGUUCAUGGCUCGGUCACGUUGGGCUCCGCUAAAAGUGACCCAACGUCUGCUUUUAUUCCAGUUUCUUUGCUGAUGACAAGUCCGGACCUGUUCCGCUCCUCUUGCUUCCUGCCGAAACACUGUACACCACAAAUUAUCCUGAGGCUUUCCACGGAACAGCUUUCACGGCGCCCAGGGCCCCCUGAUCGUGACCGUCAUGGCUACUUCUGAACAUUCUCAAUAGUUGGGGACAGUUGGGAACCAGCAGCCUCUCUAGCACUUGAGAAGUUGUUGGAAAUGUGGGGACUCCAGCCUACACAUCCCCAGCUGAAUGCUCACCACUCCUAGCAGCAAAUGACCCCAAUCAAUAUGUAAAAACCUUCAGUGCUCCACUGCAGCAAACAGUCACAGGAUUUGCUGGGUUUCUUUAUCUGACCAUCGGCUAAUGAACGAGGACACAUGUGCACCUGCAUUAGAAAUUCCUGCUGUCUUCCUUACUGGUGGAGUUGGGGCUCUGAAGCACACUACCUUCUUUUGAACCCAACCUGUGCUGCCUGGCGGCCACAAGUUCCCGACUCUCAACCUCUUCCACUUUAAAGGAGGGGUAUUACAGGUGCCUGUGCCUGGGGGCUCUCCUGAAUGUUAAUUAAAAGGAUAAGAAACAGCCAGAUGCACUUGUGAGGACUUGGCCAAUUUGCUCUCCACGGGCCCGGGAGGCAUGUUCUGCCUCUUGAGUUUUACUCACAAUUUCUUGCUGUCACCCGAAGAUUUACUCAAACAAGGCUGUUUGGAUGCGGGAGGGCAUUAUUAUGUCAAACUCAAUGCCAAACCCAGCACCAUAAGAAUGGGCAGUGAUAACAGUAAUAAAUCCAAGUGCUCCAAUUCAGGAACCUUCAGGAAACAUCAUCAUCACCGUCUGGGGCUUCCUUCUCCAACGUCAGGCAGAACUCCCCCCGUGGGUCGCCCAAGAAUCAUGCACUGGGAGAAACUGUGCGAAGCUGACCCGUUACAGGUUGAGUGUGUCCAU